GUAGAUUCAUUGCAUUAGAAAGCCUUAGGGUUUAUGUAAUAGGAAAGUUCACAUAGGAACCACCAAGAUUACAAAUAAAAACCUAAGCUUACAAAUCAAACCACCCUUUAGCUUAAAAUAAAUAAAAGAGUCCAAGUUAAUUGGCCCGAUUCCUAGGGUACAUUGGGUGUCUGACCCGGAUGAUCCGACUCGACGCUCCCUAAAGUCAAAAAUCCUCAGUGUCGUCUCCAUCACUCAAAUGCCAAUCUUUCCUCCUAAAACUCAGUUGCUCAUAUUCAGCACCAAAGAUCCUCCAAAUAGCUAAAAAGGCAACCAUCCAAAACGCAUCAGAGCAAGCUCGGAGAAUCUUCUCUUCUAAACACAUCCUAAGGAUCUCAAUGCAGAUUAUUGGAUCAAGCUGAAGCCAAUAGAGUUGAAAAAUUCAAAGUAGCUAAUCCUGGAUGAAUAGCAUAGCAGCGGGAAAGUUGCAUAUUUAACUAAAAAUUGUUAGAGUAGUUGCUAACACAUGUUUUGUUACUCACUAAUCAAUUAGCAUAACUAAUUUUUGAUGUAAAGAUAUUCUAUAAAUAGUGAGCCAAUCAAUAAGAAGAAGUAGAUU
rnacentral:misc_RNA from 1 species